UACCGACGCAGACGCCCAGAGAACCCU
rnacentral:piRNA from 2 species